rnacentral:rRNA from 1 species
GACGAACGCUGGCGGCGUGCUUAACACAUGCAAGUCGAACGGAACGGCCCUGCUUUUGUGGGGUUCUCGAGUGGCGAACGGGUGAGUAACACGUGAGUAACCUGCCCUUGACUUUGUGAUAACUUCAGGAAACUCGGGCUAAUAUCGGAUAGGAUCUCCUGCUGCAUGUUGGUGGUUGGUAAGUUUCGGCGGUUGGGGAUGUAUUCGCGGCUUAUCAGCUUGUUGGUGGGGUAGUGGCUUACCAAGGCUUUGACGGGUAGCCGGCAUGAGAGGGUGACCGGCCACAUUGGGACUGAGAUACGGACCAGACUCGUACGGGAGGCAACAGUGGGAAAUAUUGCACAAUGGGGGGACGUCUGAUGCAGAAACGCCGCGUGCGGGAUGACGGCCUUCGGGUUGUAAACAGAUUUCGACUGUAACAAAGAGUGAGUGACGGUAAUGGGUAAAGAAGCACCGGCUAACUACGUG